CUAUAUUUUACUUAUAAAAGUAGAUGGGCUUGAAGAGAUACUGCUAGUGCUAAGCUUUUAAGAUUGCUACAGAAGUCGAUAAAAGGUUUACUGAAAAGGCUUUAUCCGACAGAUUUCCUGAAACCGUGACCAUUAUUUAAAUAAAGAUGAUGCUUGCUAUAUUUCCUGUACUGCUAAAAUAUGCAAUAUAUAUCCAGAAGUACAAGUAACGUUUUCUUGAAGAAGAAGUACCCAAGCAUUGGAUGAUUGAUUCAUUGAUGAUUUUACAUAGAAGAAUUUUUUCAGUGCCAGGCUUAUUUUUUCAAAUUUUUUAUAUUUUGUUAUCUGAGAAACUAGAUGCUAUAUACAGUUAUUUACUCUACCAAAAGGCAUGUGUCCCAUUCAUAACUAAACAUAUUGCCAAU